CAACGUGUUUUGGGUUUAAUGCUACUGGAUGAGAGGAGAACCCUACAGUUAAGCGUGCUCAGAUGAGAGUAGUACCAGGAUGGGUGACCUCUUGGGAAGUCUCCAUCGAGGC
rnacentral:rRNA from 2 species